CUUCGUAUCCCAUCCGAUCUGAUUUCGGUAGACUGUAGAGGUUUUCCCUUGGAAUAUUCGAUCGAUUUACUCUCCACAAAAGAGCCCUCUUCAUUUAAUGCAUUUCUCCAUUUUCGUUCUUCUAAACCCUCUUUCCUCGUGCAUCAAACCAAGUAGUGAUGAUCGAUUAGUGUUGAGUGAUCUUUGCAGCCUCUUCUGAUCAAGCAUUAAAAUUUUCACUAGCAAAUCAUGAAGAGUCUGGCCUGAUAAUAGGUGGCCUGAGAUGCAAGAACAUCGUCAAUCCAUGCGACAAUGUUGAAUGCCAAGCUCUCCAACACCCUCGAGUAGCUCUCAAGAAUUGCGUGCCCCAAAUCCUGCAGGUGUCAAGAGUUGUCUGUGCCAAGCCAGGAUGCCUUUGUUUCAAAGAGAGCAGUAGGAUCUCAGCUCUGCUUGCGAGCAUCUCGUUCUUGUUUUCUUCACCUAUUAGAUCUUUGACCAUGCCCCAGGAGGAUUUGGAUGC